rnacentral:rRNA from 1 species
GACGAACGCUGGCGGCGUGCCUAGUACAUGCAAGUCGAACGAACCGCGACUAGGUGCUUGCACUUGGUCAAGGUGAGUGGCGAACGGGUGAGUAACACGUGGGUAACCUACCUCAUAGUGGGGGAUAACAGUCGGAAACGACUGCUAAUACCGCAUAGGACAUAGGAUCACAUGAUCCAGUGAGGAAAGGUGGCGCAAGCUAUCGCUAAGAGAUGGACCCGCGGUGCAUUAGCUAGUUGGUAGGGUAAAGGCCUACCAAGGCGAUGAUGCAUAGCCGACCUGAGAGGGUGAUCGGCCACAUUGGGACUGAGACACGGCCCAAACUCCUACGGGAGGCAGCAGUAGGGAAUCUUCCGCAAUGGACGCAAGUCUGACGGAGCAACGCCGCGUGAGUGAAGAAGGUCUUCGGAUCGUAAAGCUCUGUUGUUAGAGAAGAACAGCGCAUAGAGUAACUGUUAUGCGUGUGACGGUAUCUAACCAGAAAGCCACGGCUAACUACGUG